GUCUUUGCAGGAGAUAAGAGGCUUGCGCUUCGACUGUAGGAACCCUUCACGUCCUAUUGAUGUUUCCUGGGCCACCUGAGUGGGUCACAGGAUUCUGACGUCUCAAAACUGAGCUCUCCAGGUCUCUCUACUGGUCACUCUGCUUCAGGUUGCCAAGUGAUGACCGCAAAUCUGCACAGAGUGAGUCAGCAUCCAAUACUCAGGCCAUAAAGUUGUACGUGCAAGUAGUGCAUUUCCCUAGAAUUCAGCUUCAUUUCUAUUUUGAGCCUGAUUCUGAAGGGAGACAGACAGUAAAUCCAGUUGGUUCCGUUUUUCUAUUUAUUCAGCUUCACUUCCCUUUUCUUUAGUAUUGUGUCUUGGUUCUGGUGGGGGUGGGCUAUUGGAGACCAGGUACCCGAGGGCGGGGGUCCGCAAUGUGUGGUCACUGUCACUGGCAUGCUGAGCAUCCUGGCACCCUCAGUCCUGCUGGGACCUUGGCCCACACGUGCUCAUCGCUGAGCCUCCUCACUGCUGGCGGCAGGGCUUUUCCAUGCUGCUUAUUCCCAGCAGCUUCUGGACACCUCCAGGCAAGAAACAUCUGUCUCCCUCACCCCUGCCCUGCUCCUCUCCCUGGGGAGUGGAGAACUCCACCGCUUCCUGGGACCAUUGCCUAGACACUCUACAAAGUCAGCUCUGCUCUCCACCAGCCAUGCUUGGCCAGGGGGAUUUCUCCCCAAACCCCACCUGGAAG